CACAGUACGCUGCAUAGUAUCACAGCCAAUGAGGUUUAUCUGAGGCACAAUUAUUGCUAAUUGAAAUCUUUUCACAAUAUCUUGCCAUGAAGACUUGAAAUAUAGUCAUAUAGUCAGUAUUGGCAAUUAUUGACUGUCUCUAUGGAGA
ensembl:snRNA U4 U4 spliceosomal RNA